UCCGUAGGUGAACCUGCGGAGGGAUCAUUACACAAAUAUGAAGGCGGGCUGGAACCUCUCGGGGUUACAGCCUUGCUGAAUUAUUCACCCUUGUCUUUUGCGUACUUCUUGUUUCCUUGGUGGGUUCGCCCACCACUAGGACAAACAUAAACCUUUUGUAAUUGCAAUCAGCGUCAGUAACAAAUUAAUAAUUACAACUUUCAACAACGGAUCUCUUGGUUCUGGCAUCGAUGAAGAACGCAGCGAAAUGCGAUAAGUAGUGUGAAUUGCAGAAUUCAGUGAAUCAUCGAAUCUUUGAACGCACAUUGCGCCCUUUGGUAUUCCAAAGGGCAUGCCUGUUCGAGCGUCAUUUGUACCCUCAAGCUUUGCUUGGUGUUGGGCGUCUUGUCUCUAGCUUUGCUGGAGACUCGCCUUAAAGUAAUUGGCAGCCGGCCUACUGGUUUCGGAGCGCAGCACAAGUCGCACUCUCUAUCAGCAAAGGUCUAGCAUCCAUUAAGCCUUUUUUUCAACUUUUGACCUCGGAUCAGGUAGGGAUACCCGCUGAACUUAAGCAUAUCAAUAAGCCGGAGG
rnacentral:rRNA from 1 species